UUGAGUCGUUAUAUUCUAAUGACACCAUCAUUACUAAAAAUAAUUUUGGAAUCCACAUUAGUACUAUAAAAGCCAGUUUUUAAAUUACACUUCCCAAAUCUCAUUUUAAACAAAAAAUAUUACUAAAUUUGGUGUUUUGUUGUUUUCCAGAAAUUUCAAGUAUGAAGAUUUUCCUACUAUAUUCUGAAAGAAUGUGCUUUAGAUUGACAACACUUCCAAAAAUUUUUUCCCUAAAGGGCAGCAUGUUGUGAAGUACAUCAUUUUUUUUUUUUUUUUUUGGUCUUUUUGAUUUUUAUCAGUACCAGGGAUCGAACUCAUGACUGCCUGCUUGCAAGGCAGGCGCUUAUGCCGCUGAGCUAAAUCCCCAGCCCCGAAGUACAUCAUUUUCAAAGGUAACUCUUCCACAGGGAACACAUUCAUUGAACACAUUUAUUAUUUCCAUGCUUGCUAGAGAAUUUCUCAGAUUAAUAUAAUUGAAUCUUUUAAGGAUCUCUUGGGCUUGUCAUCUUUUAAGGAUCACACAAAGAUCACAUAAAAGAAAUGAAUCACAGUGGUUUUUUAAAACUUCAUAGAGCAACAGAUGGAUUACAAACACUAGCCAUCUUUUUUUGUAUGUGUCAAGUCAUAAACCUCUCAUUUUUAGCGUGUAUCAAUUGUUAAAGUUAUCUUCACUGAAUACAGCAAAGUCUUGUUUCAUUAACAUUCAAAACUGCUUUAUUUUUAAGUUAGAUACCACAAAAAACAAAAGCACUUAGAUCUUUUGGCCCAGGUCAGAACUCCAAUUCUAAUCACUAGUGUCAAGUAAAUCUUCUUUUAUACAAGUUAUGCAUAUCUAAAAUUAAAAUUAUGUAUUGCAAACAUGCCAGUAAAAAUUUAAAAAUAAAGUAUCACUGAAUAGUUGCAUACACAUAGUAAUUAAGCCUAGGUUCAUUUAAGUGACCUACAAAAUGUAACACGGUGUGCUAGAUUUUCUGUGUGUUCAGACAAAGACAUCUAAAACCUAGAAGUUUAAAGUGAAAUGUAUGAGUAGAACAAUAAUAUUACAACAUGGUCACUGUUAAAUAGUAACAGAAUCUACUACAGUUUGGUACAGGAAGGACUUAUCAAAAUUUUUCUGUACAGAUAGACAAUAUCAAAAACUGGGUGAGGAUGUGGCAAAACUAGAAUUCUCAGUGUAGGACAAUAAAAUGAUGUAGCCACUUUGAACAUGGGCAAUUCCUCAAAGGUAAAACUUAGAGGGCUGGGGAUUUAGUUCAGCGGCAUAAGUGCCUGCCUUGCAAGCAAGCAGUCGUUGAGUUCGAUCCCUGGUACCGAUAAAAAUUUAAAAAUUAAAAUUAAAAAAAAUAUAUAUAAAAAAAGAUAAAACUUAAAGAAUUAUAAUAUAGGGAUUCCAUUCCUAGACAUACAGUGUAUCUAAAAAAAUGGAAAACACAGGUCUAUACAAAAACUCAUACACAAAUGUUCAUAGCAGUAGUAUUCUUAAUAGUUGAAAAUGGAAGUAAUGCCCACUAAUAAAGGAACACACAAAAUGUGGUAUUAUCCACCCACAUUGUGGAAUAUUAUUCAGCUACAAAAAGGAUGUUCUAAUACAAGACAAUGAACCCUGAAAUCAUUAUGUAAAAGAAAUCAGUCACAAAAUAGCACAUAUGUCUGAUCCAUUCAUAUGAAAUACCUAAGCAAACAAUUCAUAGAGAAAGAAAAUAACUUAGUAGCUGCCAGAGCUGGGGAAGUUGGAUGACAGGAAAGUGACUGCUAAUAGGUUUAUUUUAGGGGAAGGAAAACAUCUGAAUAAGAUAAUGGUGACAAACAACUCUUAACAUGCUAAAAUCCAUUCAAGUAUAUACUUUUAAAGGGUAAAUUUUAUAACAUGUCAGUUAUAUGCAAGUAAAGCUUUUUUUAAAAAAAACUUGCCUACAGAAAUCAUACUCAGGUUACUGAGACAGACUCUGAAUCAAGGUGGACUAUGGGGGACAGGGAUUUAGCUCAGCAGCAUAACCACCUGUCUGGCAAGCACGAGGUUCAAUCCCCAGUACCAGGAAAAAAAAAAAGUGGACCAUGUUAAACAAAGAGCAUGGCAUGAUGGCAGGGCAGGGUGAGGAAGACAAUGGUGAGGUGGCCAGCAUAGCUGGAACAUAAGGUCAGGAGUCAGUAUCAAAUCUGCAGCACCCUUAACGGGCAUUACUAUACCCCAUAAUAACUAACCAGCCUUUUCUUACUAAGUUUAAAUGACCAAUUAAGACUUCUUUUUUUUGAGCCAGGAUCUUGCUGUGUAGUGCGGGCUGGCCUUGAACUCACUGCAAUCCUCCUGCUCAGCCUCCUGAUUGCUGGGAUUACAGGCAUGUGCCACCACACCCAGCUGAAACAAAUGAUUUUAAGACUAUUUUUCUACCACUCUAGUAGAAAUGCUCACUUGGCACUUCUGGGAAGAUUUGGUAGCUUUUGCCAACCUCUAGACCUAUGUAUGGCAUGCAUGCCACUGAAAGUUCUAAAAGGUUCACCAUCGCUGUGCUAGUGAUGAGACACUCCACAGCACACCAGUGACAUACUUUCUGAGAAUAGUCCACAAGCUUACCAGGUUUAUUUGGAACCAACAUCGUCCCAAAAUAAUUUCCAAUAUUUUGUUUUAGCUGAGCAAUCUCGAGAGUAGAAUGAGCAGUAUAAAGUUUAUGAAGAGACCUAUAUGAAAUGCUAAGGAACAAAGGGGACUUUUGAAGUGUGGUAUAUACAUGAUUGUAUAGAAUACAAAAUAAGUAUUUAGUACUUCUACAUUUCUUUUUGUUUACCUGUUUUCUAGUUAUGGUAAUCAAGAUAGUUUCCAUUCAUAAUGCAAAUCUUCCUUAAAAGAAAAAUCGUAAAAUUUUUAAGAAAAUAAUAUAGAUGGUUAUAAAGAAUUGGCAAAAAUCCUAAACAUUGUAUACUGAAUACUAUAAGUAUAAAAACUUAAUAAAUAGGAGCAUAGAAAGAGGUUCUACCUGGAAGUGAUAUGGCCACAUUACAGAGCAAUCAUUCUAGAAAUGGGAAGGUGGAGGACGGGAGGCAACAAUCUCCACCAGUCAGCAAAUCGCAGCCAACUGGCAAUGUUCUAUAAGCAAGAAUGAUUCUUACAUUUACUAUCUGGUCCUUUACAAAAAAGUCUGCCAAUUCCAGCUUAGACAAUGGAUAAAAUUCCCAACUAAGCCUGCUGGAUGAAGGUAUAGCAUAAAAAAAAACCUCUGAUGCAAACUUAACAAGACUAAGAUUCAUCAGAUGUACGUGGUUUAAGAGCACGUAAAAGUAAAAAUGUUAAUGUUUCUAUUUAAAACUCAAGGGAGAUAAGGACACCCAGAUAAGAAAGCUGGAAGGAAGUCAGUAUCUUCAAGUUAAGUCAUUUUUGAUUAUGAAAAAUAAAUGACAACCUAAAAUCACACAAGUGACUUAUAGCCUUACAUCAUUCAAAAAGAAGCUUACUCAAGAGAGGGGCUUGCCUUACUAUGUGUUUUGUAACUAACGGGUGUUCCUUUUCCUGUAUGAGUUUUUUUUAAUAGUUACAUCUUCAAGCUUAUUAAAUAUUCUUUCAAAGAUAGUUCUGUAGAAGAAAAAAAAAUUUUUUUGGUACCAGUAAUCAGACUCAGGACGUUAAGCUUGCCAGGCAGGUACUUGUGCCAAUGAGCUAUAUUCCUGACCCUCCAGUAUGAGAUUUCUAAAAUGAAGAAGCUGAUAUAUUUUUGUAGGAGAAAAUGUUAUUUUCUGUACAGAUCACUGGGUUUAAGUAUGACAUAACAGCAUCCAAUCUCUUAGCUAAUCUACAUCUCGGAAGCUUCGGAAUCAAAGCAAGUUGUGGUGGCACCUGAGGAGUAUCACCAGGAGUUCAGGCCAGACUGGCCUACACAGUGAGUUCACAGCCAGCCUGAACUACAUUGAAAGGCACUGUCUCAAAGAAGGAAAUAAGUAAAUUUUUAAAAAGAUACAUCAUCAUUAUGAUGAUGAGUUUUUUUUGGAACUGAGAAUUGAACUCAGGACCUUGUGCUGCUGAGGUAUAUUCUCAGCCCUCUAGUGAUUUUGCUCAUUAGGUUAUUUUUCUCCAUUUUCUUAAAAAUUGUGGAAUAAUCAUAUGUAAAGGCAGAUAAAAAGCUUUCUAGAAACAUGACAAAAUGAUUCAUUUGAAAGGAAUCUUAAUAUGUAAAGAUACUGCUCUUAUUAUAACUACUUGCUAGUCUUCAAACCUCAGUUCCAAAUACAAGAAAUUUAGACUUACUGGAUUUUUAUAACAAAGCACGGCUACCCAUUUACCAAUUGUUGAACAUUUUAAUAAAUGCCCCAGAAAUAUUACAGUUAACACAACAAAUCUACAGAUGUGGUAUAGCUAUAAUCUCUUAGUUGAAGCACAUAGGGAAAGAUGUAUUUCUGAAUUCAGAAUUGCUCAGAUUUUAGAAAGACAACAGUGCAUAUAAUCUGUUUAUAGCAGUUAGCAUUUCAAUAAGAAAAAUGUGGCACACUUAAACUGGGACAAAAGAGAUUAUGUAUAAAAGAGAAGGGAAGAUUUAAGUAAAUUAGCAAAGACAGUGAAAUACUAGUCUGAAGUAGGAGGGGGAAGAGAGUAAUUACUAGAAAGCAAAAAAAGAUAAAAACAGUAAUAUUCAUGGGUGAAUGCAUGCAGCCAUUCGACAGUAACAGGGAAGAAAGGGAGCCUAGAGAAUAUGUACUUCAAUCUCCCUUUCUUUCUUUUCUUUUUUUCUGAGACAGGGUCUUACUAUGUAGUUUUGGCUGGUCUUGAACUCACUAAAUAGCCCAGGCUGGCCUCAAAUUUGCAGUGAUCCUCCUAUCUCAGCCUCCCGAGUGCUGGGAUUACAGGCUUGUGCCACCAAGUCCAGUCAAUUCUACCAUCUUCUAGAGUCUUUUUUUUUUUUUUUUUUUUGGUACCAGGGAUCAAACUCAUGACCUUGCUAGGCAGGCACUUAUAUCAUUGAGCUAAAUCCCCAACCCAAUCUUUUACAGUCUUUUAAGUUUACUUCUAGGAGACAGUGAUGGAAGAAAGCAAGAAUGGAUGAUUUGAACAAAGUUAACAUACCCUGAAGUGAUAAACAUCACUGGAAUCUGAAUUUUAUUGACCAGAACUCAGUAAUAAGGCAGGCUAACUGUGAAGUGGUAUGGUGAUGUUUUUAGAAGAACAAAGGGAAGCACAAAUAUACUAGGUACACACCUUUUAUGUUGUAAGACUGCAGAGGGAAACUGAGGCAGCAUCUCCUAACUGCAUUAUUAUUUCUCCAGUGAAACAAUAUCCACACUAACUGCAACAAAUAAACACGGUAAGAAUAAAAAAUGAAAAACCUCACACCAAUCUAAGUUAUAAAGUGUAAAAAUAUUAAGUAUAAUAUUCAGUGUCAAACUCACUCAGACACAACUUUAGUUUUCAGAGGAUUUGCAAUUUCAGGAGUGCAGAUAAUGGAUUAUGAAUGAGCAGAUGAUCCACAAAAAUAGGAACCAGAAAGUAGAGACGAGAUUUUAGAUGUAGGCUCACGACUUACAAAUUUGUCUACGAUGCAGGGAAAAGUGCAAAUGUCUCCUAUGUUAGGCAUCAUUAACGACACCAGCCCUAGACACAAAGGGGAGGUUUUUCAAUAAAUUUCAAUUUAUUGUGCCCUGUGCUUUGUAACUACUCACUAUGCUAGAAGAUCGAAGAAAAACAAAGAGUAUCAGAGUUCCAAAAUAUGGUGAAACGAAGAUUUAAGAAAAGCCUAAAAUGACUGACUCUGAAAAGCAGCAUCAGGGAAGGCUCACCUAUGAGACGCUGACAUCAGAAUUACACUUGACAGAAGGACAAAACUUUGAACAAGGAAAUGAAGUAGGGGCAGAAGAAGAGGGCUGCCUAAAGACACAAUGUGAUGUCUUUAAAGGCCUGGACAAUGGCAAGUGACUUUUGAAUGGUAGUAUAGGAGUACCGGAAACUUUAUAAUUUUUAAGUUUUACUUACUUAUCACCAAGAAUAGGGAAGCGUAAGGUCAGUAAGAAAGAACAGAGAGUGAAAAAUACAAGAUGGAGAGCCAUUUGAGUGAGUGGUAAUGUAAUUAAGAGAUUACAUGAAGAAUACACCUGGAUCCAAGAACAGGACUAAGAAAACAAUUUUAAUUAAGGCAGGAGUUAGCUGAGGUACAAUAAAGAGCUGCCUAGUCUAGUACGUGAAAGAAUCAGAAAAUCAAAAUAGGUCACAGCUCCAGGGUAACGUGUUACUAGUAUCAUCCACCCUAUAAUCCCCAAGAAGGACGAGAGUAAAGAAGGCACAGUACCAGACCUUUUCAUGCCUUAUCUCAGAACUCUCAUUUAUAAUAUUCCUUCUGGGUUGCCAAGAGGCUUCUCUGUUUCUCAAGUCUGCCCACACUAACUUCCAGCUAAGUGAGGGUAUCGCAUGCGUCAUAUAAACUAAGAUGUAGCACGCACUUAUUCUAUUUAUGCAUUCAGAAAAAGUAAUCUUUACAGCCAAGUAAAACAAGCAGGUACAUGUACUGACUUGUCUUCUGCCAUUUAUGUAGCAGUUUCCUUGUAUGCUAACACCAUUGUUCACAGCUCUGCCAACACUUAGCACUGGCCAAUGUUUGAAAAUGGCACAAAAUACAACUUAACUUCCUUGUGUACUGAGUAUCAAGGAAAGGACUGACCAAAACACAAAAUUCCUUUAAAGAAUUUACUUAGUGUCUUUAAGGUAGAUGGCUUAUUAAAGAAUUAAACAAUACCAAUAAUACAUCUUUGAAAACUUCGUAUGUAAUUUUAAGCUUCACAUAACUAUAGUUUACUUCUUUUCUGAAACACUACUUUAUUUACCGAAGAGUAAGCUAGAAUGUAACAUUGUUAUUUUCAAAAUAUUCAUAGUUAGAAACUACCCUCUAAACAUAACACAGAUGCAUUCCAGGGAAAAAGAAAUAGGUACCUAUUUUUAACAUAUUUUCCUCAGUUUCAGUCAUGGUAAUCAUACCUGGCAAAAAUGUGUAUUUAUCCAAGCAGAGUUAACCCAGUGAAAAAUUUCAUUAUAUAAAAUCUGUAGAUAAAAGGAAUAACAAAAUGCUACUUGCUGGGUUUUUAAAAUAAGUGAGUAGAUUUUAGAAAGACUUUAUUUAAAUUCCUUAAUCUCUGCCAAAGUCUAGUUUACAGCAGUUGUCUGGAAAACAUUCUGCUGGUUAAUGCCAAAGAGCAAAUAGCAGGUCAAGUUUAAAACACAUGACUUCUUCCCUAAUUACAUUUAAGUAGCACACAGUGAGUGAAAAUAAGAUUCCUGGUCAGGAAGUGACUUUCUACAACACUAGAGAAAGGCUGAAUUCUCAAUCUUCAAAACCAAAAGCAAAGGAAAAUGAUAUUCAAGCUAUCAUUCAUCACCAGUCUGCUCCUCAUUUCUGUUCACAUUUUGGAAACAAUUUCAACAAUGACCUCAAAGCCUACAGAAAUCUCCAGUACCAGAAGCCACCUGAAUUCCAGCAUGAAUCUAAAUCCUAUGAGCAAGGCAAGUUCUACCUUCAAAUCUGAAAGGCCAAAUCUUACAACAUCAGUGAACACCAGUAUAUCUCUGACUUCCACGACGACUCCAAAUUCUAAGACAAUUUUGAAAUCAACAAUGACCUCACACACAACCAAAAAUAUGACUACAAAGACUGUGACAAAUUGUAGCACAAUACCCAAUCCAAAGCGUAACAUGCAAUUUCUUUUCUGUGUAAUAUUUUUGCUGGUUUUUGUAUAUUCAGGCUGACACAACUUGAACUGUCUGCAUUUUUAUCUCAGCUCUAUUACCUGCUGAAUAAUAAGCAUACUUGGAGAAUAAAUUGCUUACUACUUGAAUUGUAAGUAUUGUAGUAUAAUUUGGUGUCUUGCAAAUUUUAAGUGCAUAAGUUUAAAUAUUACCUUAAAAUGGUAGUUUCCUUCCUUAAAAAAGAAAAAGUAUGUACUAUCCUAUUAAAUGCCAAACUAAGCAAAAUA